rnacentral:misc_RNA from 1 species
GAAAUGCGAUAAGUAAUGUGAAUUGCAGAAUUCAGUGAAUCAUCGAAUCUUUGAACGCACCUUGCGCUCCUUGGUAUUCCGAGGAGCAUGCCUGUUUGAGUGUCAUGGAAUUCUCAACUCUAUUUGCUUUUGUGAAUAGAGCUUGGAUUUGGAGGUUUAUUGCUGGUACUUGUGAUCGGCUCCUCUUGAAUGCAUUAGCUCGAACCUUUGCGGAUCAGCUAUCGGUGUGAUAAUUGUCUACGCCGUUGCAGUGAAGCAUAUCAAUGGGCUCGGCUUCCAAUCGUCCUUUACUGGACAAUGACUUUGACCUUUGACCUCAAAUCAGGUAGGAUUACCCGCUGAACUUAAAC